GAUGAACGCUGGCGGCGUGCCUAAUACAUGCAAGUCGAGCGAACGGACGAGAAGCUUGCUUCUCUGAUGUUAGCGGCGGACGGGUGAGUAACACGUGGAUAACCUACCUAUAAGACUGGGAUAACUUCGGGAAACCGUAGCUGAUACCGGAUAAUAUUUUGAACCGCAUGGUUCAAAAGUGAAAGACGGUCUUGCUGUCACUUAUAGAUGGAUCCGCGCUGCAUUAGCUAGUUGGUAAGGUAACGGCUUACCAAGGCAACGAUGCAUAGCCGACCUGAGAGGGUGAUCGGCCACACUGGAACUGAGACACGGUCCAGACUCCUACGGGAGGCAGCAGUAGGGAAUCUUCCGCAAUGGGCGAAAGCCUGACGGAGCAACGCCGCGUGAGUGAUGAAGGUCUUCGGAUCGUAAAACUCUGUUAUUAGGGAAGAACAUAUGUGUAAGUAACCGUGCACAUCUUGACGGUACCUAAUCAGAAAGCCACGGCUAACUACGUG
rnacentral:rRNA from 1 species